GUCGAACGAUUAAAGCUCUCUUCGGAGAGUGCAUAGAGUGGCGCACGGGUGAGUAACACGUAAGUAAUCUACCUUCGAGUGGGGAAUAACGUCCGGAAACGGACGCUAAUACCGCAUAAUGCAGCGGCAUCGUAAGAUGACAGUUGUUAAAGAUUUAUCGCUUGAAGAGGAGCUUGCGGCAGAUUAGCUAGUUGGUAAGGUAAUGGCUUACCAAGGCCACGAUCUGUAACCGGUCUUAGAGGACGGUCGGUCACACUGACACUGAAUAACGGGUCAGACUCCUACGGGAGGCAGCAGUCGGGAAUUUUGGGCAAUGGGCGAAAGCCUGACCCAGCAACGCCGCGUGAAGGAUGAAGUAUUUCGGUAUGUAAACUUCGAAAGAAUAGGAAGAAUAAAUGACGGUACUAUUUAUAAGGUCCGGCUAACUACGUGCCAGCAGCCGCGGUAAUACGUAGGGACCAAGCGUUGUUCGGAUUUACUGGGCGUAAAGGGCGCGUAGGCGGCUUUGUAAGUCACUUGUGAAAUCUCUGAGCUUAACUCAGAACGGCCAAGUGAUACUGCAAUGCUAGAGUGCAGAAGGGGCAAUCGGAAUUCUUGGUGUAGCGGUGAAAUGCGUAGAUAUCAAGAGGAACACCUGAGGUGAAGACGGGUUGCUGGGCUGACACUGACGCUGAGGCGCGAAAGCCAGGGGAGCAAACGGGAUUAGAUACCCCGGUAGUCCUGGCCCUAAACGAUGAAUACUUGGUGUCUGGAGUAAUUUGUGCUCCGGAUGCCGUCGCUAACGUUUUUAGUAUUCCGCCUGGGGAGUACGCUCGCA
rnacentral:rRNA from 1 species